UACGGGGGGGGGCAAGCGUUGUUCGGAAUUACUGGGCGUAAAGGGCUCGUAGGCGGCCAACUAAGUCAGACGUGAAAUCCCUCGGCUUAACCGGGGAACUGCGUCUGAUACUGGUUGGCUUGAGUUUGGGAGAGGGAUGCGGAAUUCCAGGUGUAGCGGUGAAAUGCGUAGAUAUCUGGAGGAACACCGGUGGCGAAGGCGGCAUCCUGGACCAACACUGACGCUGAGGAGCGAAAGCGUGGGGAGCGAAC
rnacentral:rRNA from 1 species